AAAAAAAAAAGAAACAGAGAGAGAGAGAGAGAAGAGAGGAAAAAAGAUCUGCGGUGAGAAAUCGAGCGAGUGUCCUCCGGCGACAGACACACUCGAAACUCAGCCGACAACCUACCGAUGUUAGCCUUCUUCCUGUGUUGAAGUCACGGUAGGUCUUGGUUCGAAUCUUGUUUGUUCUUCUUUUAGGUGCGUUGUGUUGAGUUCCCGAGGAUUCUGGCUUGGGGGUGUGCGAGGCAACCGAACAUUGUCUAAUCUAUUGAGCUCACCCUCAUUCACUGCCCCUGAGCCAGUUAGGGAGCACAAUCGACGGCCCCUUUUUUUCCCUCGUCGUUCUGAUUUUGUGGCCUGAUUUGGGCUUGUCGGACUGGGCUAUCGUUGUCAGUAAGUUCAUGAGCGUUCCUUAGUCGCUUUAGGUUUGAGGAAUUUGGGCUUGUUUUAAUGGGGAGAGUUUGAGUGUGAUUUGGCAUUGAUAAUGGUGGGCUUAGUUCGGCUUGUUGAGUUUGGGUUUAAUUUGGUUGAGUGGGCUUGGAAUUUGUCCUGGUUGUGGCCGAAUUGCGCUUCAAUUGUUGAGCCCAUCCCUUUCUUUAGGCUUUUAUUCAGAACCUGACCCGAAGGCCCACGGUAGUCCACAUCCUGACUAAGCUCUAAGGCCCUACCCGAAUACGCAUCUUCGGAAUAAAAAAUUAUUAUUAUUUAAAAUAUUUUAAAAAUUAAAAAUUAAAAAUUCUCCGAUUUUUUAAAAUAUAUUUUUAAGUUAUGAUAAAGCUUAAUAAUUAGUUUUUGAGUAGUUGUCUCUUAAAAUAUGUGAAAAUCCUUGAUAAAUAGAUUGUGCUUUAUUAUAUUGUUAUUUGCAUAUUUCCAUUAUUUCGAUUGUGCGCUUUUUAUAAUCUAUUUCCUUAGCCUAGUUAAGAAUACAUUUCUUGGACUCAUGAAUGCUACAUGAAUACUUUAUUUGGUGGUUGAACAAGAAUUACCAAAAGGGCAUUAGUUGGCUAAUUAGUGUAAUUAAGUUUCCAACUUUAGAUUAUCUAGUUCAAAGUAAGUAAUCCUCCUAGUAUUUUACUUGAGUAUUUUACUUGGGAUCUAAUCGAUCCACCUUAAAUUGAUUAAUGUUGUGAUUUGUAUGUUAAAAACUCAAAACAUAAGUUGCGAAUUAGUAUAAGCUUGAGAGAGUUCGAGCUAGAUUUGAACUUAACAAUCCAUUAGCCAAAUUCUUAGCGGUCCAUCCAAGGAUAGGUCGCAACAAUUUUGCUAUGACCAUAUCUCAGAUUUAGGUUAUUAUACAAUUUAUUGAUGGUGAAGUCCAAAUUCCAUUAUUCUUAGAAACUUCAUUAGCUCAUUCAGGGUUAUGGCUGUGGAGACCCAAUAAUGUGGAGGCCAAUGAAAUACCCUUCAAGCCCUACAAAUCAGUUAAGUUCAAAUCUUCGGACCUAGGCCCAAUAUUAUUUACACGCUGUUGGUGGUAUCAUAUAUGUUAAAUAUAAAUAAUGGAAAAAAAUUGUCCUAUUAAAGUGGUUACAAAACAAAAAUAUCAUAUAUGUCAAGUUGGAAUUCUAAUUUAGAUAGACGGAAUAAUAAUAUCUUAGGAUUUUUUAGGACAACAAUUGAACUGUACGAUCGUGAAAACUAAAAUAUUUGGCAACAUAGUCUAUCCCAUUCAUUAAUAGGUGCUUGUAAAUUAGCAUAUCUAAGUCUCUGUUGAUGUUGACAAGUGUUUCACCCAUUCAACACGGAAUUAUUCGAAAUAGAUUUGGUCGAAUUUGGAUUCGGAGUGUGAGGGUUUUGUACUUUGACUUGCUUUGGCCUAACAUGGCCUCUUUUAUCUCCGUUCCAUGUUAUAAAUCUAGACACCAAUUGCAGAAAAAUCGUAGCACAUAAAACAAAAGUUUAGACUCAAACCAAAUACUAAUGGUUCCAUGAGUGAGGUCGUGCACGAGACUUAGGCAAAACAUCAUCUUCUAUGCAUGUUUAAUCAAGUUAAUGUCGAGUCCUGGAGGGUUAUUUUAAUAUUGUCAACCAACGCAAUUAUAUUGGGCCCGCAAGUUUAGGAGAGCUUUGAAAAUUCCAAGUUAACUUUAAAUGAUGAAUUCUAAGCAUGUAAUUUCGUCAUUUACUGUCAACCCCCGAACUUCAAGCGUGCGAACAUCCCACAAUGGUCGAUUAAAAUGCAACUUCUCAGAGCGCGUCGCCAACUUGCCCAUCCAAAAACAGCCUUAGGCUGAAGUUUGAGAGCUGUGCUGGGAUAUACAGAGGAAGAAAACCCUUCCGUUACUCUUCAGCUCAUACACCCAAUCACACUUACCAUCACCACCGUGCCACCGUCAAUCGCCCCUUUGCCACCUGAAUAGUCGAGAUUCUUUUUGUUCAAUAUGGAACUUUCAGAAGUUUGUUUAAUGAAACUAGGCUGUCCCUAUGAAAUUAGUUGGUGAGAUUGAAUACACGAGAAUUCGCUAGUUGGGUUUUGCGAUGAUGAUUGCUGCUCUUCUAGUCCAAUCAUAGCCCGCACGUGUUAAGAGUAAUUAAAUAUAAAUUACACCUUCAACUAACAAUUUAAGCUUUUAAAACAAUUGAUAGUGGUUUUACAAAUUUUCUCGUUGUAUCAGAGCUAGAGGUCCUCAGUUUGAAUUUUUCUAGGCCUUGUUUGCUUACCUAAUUAAAUUUCCACGCUUAGAUAUUAGGCAAAAAGAUCAAACUAAGACUAAGUGUCACCUCAAGACCAUUAGGAAGAUGUACAAGAGGAGCUGUGAAACAAAAUCGAAAGGUCAAAAAGGACAUUAAUUGUCCUUAAUAAACAGAUAACUUCUUGAUGUACAAGAGGAGUUGCGGAACAAAAUUGAAAGGAUGAAAAGGACAUUAGUUGUCCUUAAUAAACAUAUAACUUCCUAAAGUACAAGAGGAGUUACGGAACAAAAUGGAAAGGUCGAAAAGGAGUUAGUUGUCCUUUAAUAAACAAAUAACUUCAUGGUCUAAUCUGCGGUUAUAAGAAAUGUCAUAUUAUCUAAUAGGACUAUGCUUAGAGGACGGUACCAUCACUUUCCAUGAAGUGACAGAGCUCUCCUCACCACACAGCCUAAAGUGUAAGAUUUUGGGGAUCGGAAUAUCAAAUUGACAAAUAUGUCGUCAAAAAUGUGUACAAUUGCCCUACCGUAAAAUUGACCAUACAAAUUUUGAGCUUGUAUGAUGUCAACUAAUAUUUUGUGAAAUUUUCAAUUCAUCAAAUUGAUGAAAUCCCCUCUGAUCACUCAAUUCCAAACUUAGUAUUAAAUGAUAACAAAUUAAAGACAAUGAAAAAUAGAGGCAAAGUAGAAGAGAGGAACUGGACGUAGAUAAAUAGUGGUGCUAGCAAUGGUAGCUGUAGACGCCGUGCAUAUGGAGGACGGCGAAAUGGUGGUGGGGCUGGGUUCAAAUGGAGGGAGGGCGAGGCUGUUGGGUGGCGAUGGAUGUUGCGAUGAGGAAGGAGAGGUGGCGACAGCAGAGACGAUGCUACAACCGACUCUUGCCGAAGCCAAUGCCUUUGUGUCAGAGUUAUCCCUCACCCUCACUAUCGAAGCUUGUGGUCACUCCCUAU
rnacentral:lncRNA from 1 species